GCCGGGGUGGUGAAACUGGUAGACGCGCCGGAUUCAAAAUCCGGUCCCUUCGGGGGUGUCGGUUCGAUUCCGACCCUCGGCACCA
rnacentral:tRNA from 1 species